GAUGAACGCUGGCGGCGUGCCUAAUACAUGCAAGUCGAACGGGGAGUUUUGCUUCGGUAGAACUCUUAGUGGCGAACGGGUGAGUAACGCGUUGGUGACCUACCCCGAAGUGUGGGAUAACAGUUCGAAAGGACUGCUAAUACCGCAUGUGGUUUUCUGGAUUAGAAGCCGGAUCUCUAAAGCAGUAAUGCGCUUCGGGAGGGAUCUGCGUCCCAUCAGCUAGUUGGUGAGGUAACGGCCCACCAAGGCUACGACGGGUAGGGGACCUGAGAGGGUGGUCCCCCACACUGGCACUGAAACACGGGCCAGACACCUACGGGUGGCAG
rnacentral:rRNA from 1 species